AUUGAACGCUGGCGGCAGGCCUAACCCAUGCAAGUCGAACGAGUGGCGGACGGGUGAGUAAUGUCUGGGAAACUGCCCGAUGGAGGGGGAUAACUACUGGAAACGGUAGCUAAUACCGCAUACCAUCGGAUGUGCCCAGAUGGGAUGAGCUAGUAGGUGGGGUAACGGCUCAACUAGGCGACGAUCCAUAGCUGGUCUGAGAGGAUGACCAGCCACACGGGAACUGAGACACGGUCCAGACUCCUACGGGAGGCAGCAGUGGGGAAUAUUGCACAAUGGGCGCAAGCCUGAUGCAGCCAUGCCGCGUGUAUGAAGAAGGCCUUCGGGUUGUAAAGUACUUUCAGCGAGGAGGCGUUACUCGCAGAAGAAGCACCGGCUAACUCCGUGCCAGCAGCCGCGGUAAUUC
rnacentral:rRNA from 1 species